ACUUUUGGCUCGAAUUUAGGUUUUAUUCAGUUCAACUGAAUGAAUUAAAAGGGAAUCUGGUGCGAAAUUCAUUUUCUAAUCCAGAACUGUUCCCGCAACUGUAAGCUACAACGCUUGUUAUAACCUUCAAAGUCACUAGAUCUAAUUUUCUGGGAAGACGCAUAACAAGACGCAAGUCAGGAGACCUGCCAAAUUCAAACAUAGAAG
rnacentral:ncRNA from 2 species